rnacentral:rRNA from 1 species
AACGAACGCUGGCGGCAGGCCUAACACAUGCAAGUCGAGCGGCAGCGCGUCCGACCACCCUCGGGUGGUCGGAUGGCGGCGAGCGGCGGACGGGUGAGGAAUGCAUCGGAAUCUGCCUCGUUGUGGGGGAUAACGUAGGGAAACUUACGCUAAUACCGCAUACGACCUACGGGUGAAAGUGGGGGACCUUCGGGCCUCACGCGAUGAGAUGAGCCGAUGCCGGAUUAGCUAGUUGGCGGGGUAAAGGCCCACCAAGGCGACGAUCCGUAGCUGGUCUGAGAGGAUGAUCAGCCACACUGGAACUGAGACACGGUCCAGACUCCUACGGGAGGCAGCAGUGGGGAAUAUUGGACAAUGGGGGCAACCCUGAUCCAGCCAUGCCGCGUGUGUGAAGAAGGCCUCGG